AGUGCACGGCUACGAUUGAUGAUGUUGUUCAUGGCUCUACUUGGUACUACAUUGCAUGCAGUGAGUGCCAUUCUAAGGCUACCAAUGGCCCAAGUUCGUUGAUUUGUACAAACACAAAAUGUGGGAAGGUUAACAGCUGGCGUUCCACAGUACCGUGCAAAAAAUUUCUGUUUAUGACAACAGUGAACAAGUUUUCUUUGUCCUACUUGGAGAUGCUGAUCGGGAGUUGACUGGGAGGCAUGCAUCCGAGUUAGUUAGCAGCUACUUUGAGGCUAAUAAAAGCGAAGGAGCUGACCAUGAGGUGCAUGUCCCGGAAGCUCUAAUCAGCACCAUCGGACGA